rnacentral:rRNA from 1 species
UGCCAGACUCCUACGGGAGGCAGCAGUGGGGAAUAUUGCACAAUGGGGGAAACCCUGAUGCAGCGACGCCGCGUGGAGGAAGAAGGUCUUCGGAUUGUAAACUCCUGUCCUUGGGGACGAUAAUGACGGUACCCAAGGAGGAAGCACCGGCUAACUACGUGCCAGCAGCCGCGGUAAAACGUAGGGAGCAAGCGUUGUCCGGAAUUACUGGGUGUAAAGGGAGCGUAGGCGGGAUGGCAAGUUGGGUGUUAAAUCUACCGGCUCAACUGGUAGUCGCACUCAAAACUGCUAUUCUUGAGUGAAGUAGAGGCAGGCGGAAUUCCUAGUGUAGCGGUGAAAUGCGUAGAUAUUAGGAGGAACACCAGUGGCGAAGGCGGCCUGCUGGGCUUUUACUGACGCUGAGGCUCGAAAGUGUGGGGAGCAAACAGGAUUAGAUACCCGAGUAC